rnacentral:rRNA from 1 species
GAUGAACGCUGGCGGCGUGCCUAAUACAUGCAAGUCGAGCGAACAGACGAGGAGCUUGCUCCUCUGACGUUAGCGGCGGACGGGUGAGUAACACGUGGAUAACCUACCUAUAAGACUGGGAUAACUUCGGGAAACCGGAGCUAAUACCGGAUAAUAUAUUGAACCGCAUGGUUCAAUAGUGAAAGACGGUUUUGCUGUCACUUAUAGAUGGAUCCGCGCCGCAUUAGCUAGUUGGUAAGGUAACGGCUUACCAAGGCAACGAUGCGUAGCCGACCUGAGAGGGUGAUCGGCCACACUGGAACUGAGACACGGUCCAGACUCCUACGGGAGGCAGCAGUAGGGAAUAUUCCGCAAUGGGCGAAAGCCUGACGGAGCAACGCCGCGUGAGUGAUGAAGGUCUUCGGAUCGUAAAACUCUGUUAUUAGGGAAGAACAACUGUGUAAGUAACUAUGCACGUCUUGACGGUACCUAAUCAGAAAGCCACGGCUAACUACGUG